rnacentral:rRNA from 1 species
GUGGGGAAUCUUCCGCAAUGGACGAAAGUCUGACGGAGCAACGCCGCGUGAGUGAUGAAGGUCUUCGGAUUGUAAAGCUCUGUUAAUCGGGACGAAAGAGCCUAGUGUGAAUAAUGCUAGGAAGUGACGGUACCGGAAUAGAAAGCCACGGCUAACUACGUGCCAGCAGCCGCGGUAAUACGUAGGUGGCAAGCGUUGUCCGGAAUUAUUGGGCGUAAAGCGCGCGCAGGCGGAUCUGCCAGUCUGUCUUAAAAGUUCGGGGCUUAACCCCGUGAUGGGAUGGAAACUACAGAUCUAGAGUAUCGGAGAGGAAAGUGGAAUUCCUAGUGUAGCGGUGAAAUGCGUAGAUAUUAGGAAGAACACCAGUGGCGAAGGCGACUUUCUGGACUGUAACUGACGCUGAGGCUCGAAAGCCAGGGGAGCGAACGGGAUUAGAAACCCCUGUAGUCC